rnacentral:rRNA from 1 species
CAGUAGCCGCGGUAAUACGAAGGGUGCAAGCGUUAAUCGGAAUUACUGGGCGUAAAGCGUGCGUAGGCGGUGAGUUAAGUCUGCUGUGAAAUCCCCGGGCCCAACCUGGGAAUGGCAGUGGAUACUGGCUCGCUAGAGUGUGUCAGAGGAUGGUGGAAUUCCCGGUGUAGCGGUGAAAUGCGUAGAGAUCGGGAGGAACAUCAGUGGCGAAGGCGGCCAUCUGGGACAACACUGACGCUGAGGCACGAAAGCGUGGGGAGCAAACAGGAUUAGAUACCCCGGUAGUCCCUGUCUCUUAUAC